rnacentral:rRNA from 1 species
AUUGAACGCUGGCGGCAGGCCUAACACAUGCAAGUCGAACGAGUGGCGGACGGGUGAGUCAUGUCUGGGCAACUGCCUGAUGGAGGGGGUUAACUACUGGGAACGGUCGCUAAUACCGUCCACAAUCAGCUAUGCCCAGAUGGGAUUAGCUUGUUGGUGGAGUAACGGCUCACAAAGGUCACGAUCCCUAGCCGGUCUGUGAGGAUGACCAGCCAAACUGGAACUAGGACACGGGCCAGACUCCUACGGGAGGCAGCAGUGGGGAAUAUUGCACAAUGGGCGAAAGCCUGAUGCAGCCAUGCCGCGUGUAUGAAGAAGGUCUUCGGGUUGUAAAGCACUUUCAGCGGGGAGGCGUUACCCGCAGAAUAAGCACCGGCUAACUCCGUGCCAGCAGCCGCGGUAAUUC